UCGUGCUCAAUGAAGAGCGCUGCUUCGGCAUCGGAGAUACCCUCUGGGUUAUUAAACAUUAAUUUCACUAACUCCUUGCUUGUAAGAUAUUUUCCCCUUUCGGGGGGCUCAAACUCAUUUGCUAAAACAUAUAUAGUGUGUACCGGAGUUGAGGGUGUGAGGCCUAUACAUCUGCGUAGGGUGGAGUUUUGGAAGGUCAUAAUUUUUUUGUUUAUUGUUUUUGAUAUCUUAGCAGCCGUAGUCUUUGCAUAUUCAACCUUUGACCUGAUGAAGCUUUUGUAUAGGUUCACCGCCACUUUUGGUGUUAUACCUGCUUUUACCGGGGUCAGGCAUUUUAAAAAGUUUGAAUUUUUCUUUGUUUCCUUAACUAGCCCUUCAAAGUGAGGCCCAACCGUUAGUGAUGCGUUGAUGGUUCUACCAAUAAAUUUUAUAUGUCUGACCUGUUCAAUCUGAAAGUCGUUUAUUUUCAUGUUGAUGUUUUUCUUGCUGCCUCGGGCUAGGUUUGAAACCACCAAGUCGCAGUUGUCCCCAUGUGCUAAAAUCAAGAAAUCGUCCGCAAACUGAUACACGUCUGUCACUGAGUCCUCAAUACUAUGAAGUUCUUUUGUGUACACGUUGAAGAGUAGUGGCGAGAGACAGCUACCCUGUGGUAGGCCAUCCUCAACCACUAUCGAUUCGUUGCCAAGAAGUAAUUCCAGGUCCGCUAACAUAGUAUGUAGUUUGUUCAAAGACACACAAUAAUAGGCGUUGCUUAUGUCCAGGGUCAGGACCACAGCCUUUUGCCCUGCGUGUUUAAUAUUAGCAACUUUGUGUAGGAAUUCAUUAAUGCACAUGGCUGCAGAUUUACCUUUUCGAUAAGCAUAGCUUCUGUCUGGAUAUGAAUUUUUACUGUUUAGAAAUUCCUCUAGUCUACCCUUGACCAUGAGAUUUAUUGUCUUUAUGAGAACAGAUAUCAGAGAUAUCGGUCGAAAAUUCUUAUAAUCACUUACGUCCUUGUCCGCCUUGGGUAUCGGUACCACCCUUAUUCUACGGAGUGAGUCGUCAAUUUUACAAUUUUGAAAAGCAUCAUUAAAAGAAAUUAGUAGGUUUUUUUGCGCCGUUUCCGACCGAGCUCGUAGCAUUUCGUAUGUGAUCUGAUCACACCCCCCUGCUGACCUUUUCGUUUUCUUUUUUAGAACAUUUUUCAGUUCCUCUUCCCCAAAAGCAGGCACCCAUGACUCCAGGACAUCCACUUUUUGUGCAAUUUCAUUAUUAUUGGUAUUUGCAUCUUGUCUAACCUGAUUUUUCAGAUGCUGCAGGUACACUCUAUUGUUCGUGUCGUCCCACUGUUGUUUGGAUUCCGAAGAUCCCGCAUUUUUAAUAUUUUUUAAGAAUUUCCAUGCCUCUCUGGUGUUGGGGUGACUAUUGAGUGAGUUAAGAUUUUUGCUGUAGUUUUCCUUUUUAGCUUCUUCUACCGCGUUUUUCCAGUUUUCCUUGGCUUCAGUCGCUUCCU